GGGCUGGACGACCCGCUGGUGGAGCGGUUGUGGGGCGACCCGCAGGCCGCGUAGCUAUGGUCGGGCGGGGGAACCGCUGAAUGCAUCUAAGUGGGAAGCCCACUGCAAGACGAGCCUUCUCAUCGUCAGCGGACGAGUAAGGUCCCGGGGAGACGACCCGGAGAAGAGGGGCCAGGUGGACGCCCGGUGACGGGUGGAGCCGAGGCCGCCUCAAGACCGAGGGCUUGCCUGG
rnacentral:rRNA from 1 species